GAUGAACGCUGGCGGCGUGCCUAAUACAUGCAAGUCGAGCGAACUGAUUAGAAGCUUGCUUCUAUGACGUUAGCGGCGGACGGGUGAGUAACACGUGGGCAACCUGCCUGUAAGACUGGGAUAACUUCGGGAAACCGAAGCUAAUACCGGAUAGGAUCUUCUCCUUCAUGGGAGAUGAUUGAAAGAUGGUUUCGGCUAUCACUUACAGAUGGGCCCGCGGUGCAUUAGCUAGUUGGUGAGGUAACGGCUCACCAAGGCAACGAGGCAUAGCCGACCUGGGAGGGUGAUCGGCCACACUGGGACUGAGACACGGCCCAGGCUCCUACGGGAGGCAGCAGUAGGGAAUCUUCCGCAAUGGACGAAAGCCUGACGGAGCAACGCCGCGUGAGUGAUGAAGGCUUUCGGGUCGUAAAACUCUGUUGUUAGGGAAGAACAAGUACAAGAGUAACUGCUUGUACCUUGACGGUACCUAACCAGAAAGCCACGGCUAACUACGUGCCAGCAGCCGCGGUAA
rnacentral:rRNA from 1 species